UACAGAGGGUGCAAACGUUGUUCGGAAUUACUGGGCGUAAAGCGCGUGUAGGCGGUCCGGAAAGUCGGCUGUGAAAUCCCGCGGCUCAACCGUGGAAGUGCACUCGAAACUACCGGACUCGAGUCCCGGAGAGGAAGGCGGAAUGCUCGGUGUAGAGGUGAAAUUCGUAGAUAUCGAGCGGAACACCAGUGGCGAAGGCGGCCUUCUGGACGGUGACUGACGCUGAGAAGCGAAAGCGUGGGGAGCAAACAGG
rnacentral:rRNA from 1 species